UACGUAGGGACCAAGCGUUGUUCGGAUUCAUUGGGCGUAAAGGGUGCGUAGGUGGCGCUGUAAGUCGGGUGUGAAAUUUCGGAGCUUAACUCCGAAACUGCAUUCGAUACUGCGGUGCUUGAGGACUGGAGAGGAGACUGGAAUUCCCAGUGUAGAGGUGAAAUUCGUAGAUAUUGGGAAGAACACCGGUGGCGAAGGCGGCGACCUGGUCCGAUACUGACGCUGAGGCGCGAAAGCGUGGGGAGCAAACAGG
rnacentral:rRNA from 1 species